AUUGAACGCUGGCGGCAUGCUUUACACAUGCAAGUCGAACGGCAGCGCGGGCUUCGGCCUGGCGGCGAGUGGCGAACGGGUGAGUAAUACAUCGGAACGUGCCCAGUAGUGGGGGAUAGCUCGGCGAAAGCCGGAUUAAUACCGCAUACGACCUGAGGGUGAAAGCGGGGGAUCUUCGGACCUCGCGCUAUUGGAGCGGCCGAUGGCAGAUUAGCUAGUUGGUGGGGUAAAGGCCUACCAAGGCGACGAUCUGUAGCUGGUCUGAGAGGACGACCAGCCACACUGGGACUGAGACACGGCCCAGACUCCUACGGGAGGCAGCAGUGGGGAAUUUUGGACAAUGGGGGAAAGCCUGAUCCAGCAAUGCCGCGUGUGUGAUGAAGGCCUUCGGGUUGUAAAGCACUUUUGGCGGGAACGAAAAGGACUGUGCCAAUACCACGGUUCGAUGACGGUACCCGCAGAAUAAGCACCGGCUAACUACGUG
rnacentral:rRNA from 1 species